rnacentral:rRNA from 1 species
AGUCUAUUUAGAGGAACCUGUUCUGUAAUUGAUAGUCCACGAUUAGAAUUACUUACAUUAAUAUUUACAUAUCGUCGUAGGUUGAAUAUUUUUAUAGAAUUUUUUAAUAUUCAAGAAUUUUUAAAAAAAAAUUCAGAUCAAGGUGUAGUUUACGUGUAAGAAGAAAUGGGUUACAAUAAAUUUAUUUAAACGGAUUAAUUUUGUUAGAAAAAUUAUAAAGGUGGAUUUGAAAGUAAUUUUAAAAAUAUAUUUAGAAUGAUUUUAGCUCUAAAAUAUGUACAUAUUGCCCGUCGCUUUCACUUUAAGGUGGAAUAAGUCGUAACAAAGUAGGUGUACUGGAAAGUGUCCCUGGAAACU